rnacentral:misc_RNA from 1 species
GAUGAAGAACGUAGCGAAAUGCGAUAAGUAAUGUGAAUUGCAGAAUUCAGUGAAUCAUCGAAUCUUUGAACGCACCUUGCACCCUUUGGCAUUCCGAAGGGUAUGCUCGUUUGAGUGUCAUUGUACUCUCACACUCCCAAUUGCUUUGGAUUGGGAGCGGUGGUCUUGGGUGUUGCUGCUUGACUGAGGCUCACCUGAAAUAUGUUAGUGCACCUCUUGAUUGGACAUAGUACGGCGUGAUAAGUGUCUUCGCCGGCUCCUCGCAAAGAGGGUGGCCGAUCGGGAGCUCUGUUGCUUCAAACUGUCUUCGGACAAUCUUCUGGCGACUUGACCUCAAAUCGAGUAGGACUACCCGCUGAACUUAAGCAUAUCAAUAAGCGGAGGA